CCUACGGGGGGCAGCAGUAGGGAAUUUUCGGCAAUGGGGGGAACCCUGACCGAGCAACGCCGCGUGAAGGAAGAAGGAAUUCGUUCUGUAAACCUCUGUUAUAAAGGAAGAAAGACGGCUGUAGGAAAUGACAUCCGAGUGACGGUACUUUCUGAGAAAGCCACGGCUAACUACGUGCCAGCAGCCGCGGUAAUACGUAGGUGGCAAGCGUUAUACGGAAUUAUUGGGCGUAAAGAGGGAGUAGGCGGCAGCAAAGGUCUGUGGUGAAAGACUGGAGCUUAACUUCAGUAAGCCAUAGAAACCGGGCAGACAGGGUGCAGGAGAGGAUCGUUGAAUUCCAUGUG
rnacentral:rRNA from 1 species